UGGGGAAUAUUGGACAAUGGGCGCAAGCCUGAUCCAGCCAUGCCGCGUGAGUGAUGAAGGCCUUAGGGUUGUAAAGCUCUUUUAGCGGGGAAGAUAAUGACGGUACCCGCAGAAAAAGCCCCGGCUAACUUCGUGCCAGCAACCGCGGUAAUACGAAGGGGGCUAGCGUUGCUCGGAAUUACUGGGCGUAAAGCGCACGUAGGCGGACUCUUAAGUCGGUGGUGAAAUCCUGGAGCUCAACUCCAGAACUGCCUUCGAUACUGGGAGUCUUGAGUUCGGGAGAGGUGAGUGGAACUGCGAGUGUAGAGGUGAAAUUCGUAGAUAUUCGCAAGAACACCAGUGGCGAAGGCGGCUCACUGGCCCGAUACUGACGCUGAGGUGCGAAAGCGUGGGGAGCAAAC
rnacentral:rRNA from 1 species